rnacentral:rRNA from 1 species
AACGAACGCUGGCGGCGUGCCUAACACAUGCAAGUCGAGCGCGAAUGGAGCAAUCCUAGUAGAGCGGCGCACGGGUGCGUAACACGUGGAUAAUCUGCCUGGGUGUCUGGGAUAACCAGUCGAAAGAUUGGCUAAUACCGGAUGAGCCCCCGGGAGCUUCGGCUCUUGAGGGAAAAGGUGGCCUCUGUAUACAAGCUAUCACAUCCAGAUGAGUCCGCGGCCCAUCAGCUAGUUGGCGGGGUAAUGGCCCACCAAGGCGACGACGGGUAGCUGGUCUGAGAGGACGAUCAGCCACACUGGAACUGAGACACGGUCCAGACUCCUACGGGAGGCAGCAGUGGGGAAUUUUGCGCAAUGGGCGAAAGCCUGACGCAGCAACGCCGCGUGUGUGAUGAAGGUCUUCGGAUUGUAAAGCACUUUCGACCGGGACGAAAACCCUGAGGCCAAUACCCUCAGGCUUGACGGUACCGGGAGAAGAAGCACCGGCUAACUCUGUGCCAGCAGCCGCGGUAAUACAGAGGGUGCAAGCGUUGUUCGGAAUUAUUGGGCGUAAAGCGCGUGUAGGCGGCUUUGCAAGUCGGGUGUGAAAGCCCUCAGCUCAACUGAGGAAGUGCGCCCGAAACUGCAGAGCUUGAGUGCCGGAGAGGGUGGCGGAAUUCCCCAAGUAGAGGUGAAAUUCGUAGAUAUGGGGAGGAACACCGGUGGCGAAGGC